rnacentral:rRNA from 1 species
UACAGAGGUCCCGAGCGUUGUUCGGAUUCACUGGGCGUAAAGGGUGCGUAGGUGGCGAGGUAAGUCGGAUGUGAAAUCUCCGAGCUCAACUCGGAAAUGGCAUUGGAAACUACCUUGCUCGAGGGUUGGAGGGGGGACUGGAAUACUUGGUGUAGCAGUGAAAUGCGUAGAUAUCAAGUGGAACACCAGUGGCGAAGGCGAGUCCCUGGACAACUCCUGACACUGAGGCACGAAAGCUAGGGGAGCAAACAGG